UACGUAGGAGCCAAGCGUUGUCCGGAUUGACUGGGCGUAAAGCGCACGCAGGCGGUCGCGCGCGUGGGGUGUGAAAUCUGGCCGCUUAACGGCCAGGCGCCAUCCCAUACGGCGCAACUGGAGGGCUGCAGGGGUCGAUGGAAUUGCCGGUGUAGUGGUGAAAUGCGUAGAGAUCGGCAGGAACACCCAGGGGGAAACCAGUCGACUGGGCAGCACCUGACGCUGAGGUGCGAGAGCGUGGGGAGCGAACAGG
rnacentral:rRNA from 1 species